rnacentral:rRNA from 1 species
GAUGAACGCUGGCGGCGUGCCUAAUACAUGCAAGUCGAGCGAACAGAUAAGGAGCUUGCUCCUUUGACGUUAGCGGCGGACGGGUGAGUAACACGUGGGUAACCUACCUAUAAGACUGGGAUAACUUCGGGAAACCGGAGCUAAUACCGGAUAACAUUUGGAACCGCAUGGUUCUAAAGUGAAAGAUGGUUUUGCUAUCACUUAUAGAUGGACCCGCGCCGUAUUAGCUAGUUGGUAAGGUAACGGCUUACCAAGGCAACGAUACGUAGCCGACCUGAGAGGGUGAUCGGCCACACUGGAACUGAGACACGGUCCAGACUCCUACGGGAGGCAGCAGUAGGGAAUCUUCCGCAAUGGGCGAAAGCCUGACGGAGCAACGCCGCGUGAGUGAUGAAGGGUUUCGGCUCGUAAAGCUCUGUUAUUAGGGAAGAACAAACGUGUAAGUAACUGUGCACGUCUUGACGGUACCUAAUCAGAAAGCCACGGCUAACUACGUG